UUUUAGGCCUCCAAGAAGAGUCCCAUUUAUUAGCAAAAUUACUUUAUUCUAACAAAUAGUUUAACACAAAAAUACGAACUAGCCCUCCAGGGAUCUUUGGGGUCUACGCUUCCCAUCGCCUCAGUGUCCGGUGCAUGAGGAAGGUGUCCUCUGAAGGGCGGGGCCGGAGUUGAAGUCGGAGAGGGGGCAGACCGUCCAGGGUCAGGUGCCUUGAGGGUGCGGGGAUGCGGGGGUCGCAGACGCUCCAACGGUCAGGGGACACAGCCUGGCUGCCGCCUCCUUUCCCCCGCCCCUCCUAGACGCCGCUACCGGAAACCGUUAACCCUUUCCUUC
ensembl:lncRNA novel transcript